CAGCCCCCUGCUUUCCCAAUGAACCAAAGAGCAAGAGAGCUGCAUUUGUGUUUGAUUCUCCUGAGCAAACAAUUCUCCAAGCGUGACCAAGACCUGUGAACUCCUUCCUGUGGUCCCUGCAUUUGCUUCUCCACCUUUCUCUUAUCUGUUUCCAGCCCAUCUCAUACCACCCAUCUCUGCCCUCUGAAACAUUCCAAAGGCAAGUUUAGAGGCAGGAGGACAUGGAUGCUGGUGGAGCUGGGGUGGAUACCAGUGAGGAGGGCAGAGCUGGACUGCAGGCACUGGAAGUCACGUCUGAAGCGCGUUGGCAGAGGAUCAUCUAUUUAACAAGGUAAACGGAAGAGGAAAACACCCCUGGAGUGGGAAAAGGAGGGACUGAAUGGAGCAUGCCCAGAAUUGUGUGCUGCUAAUAGGAUCUCCAAUUUGCCCCCAGUCAAAGGGGAUUUGUGCUAAGCCGAAGGAUGCAGGUCACUGUGUGCCUACAGAGCACAGAGGAGGUUUCUGUUAUAACUUCCUGUGCUUUGUUUAAGAAAAUACAUUAACUGGAGGAAGAGAGUCUCACUACAACCCUGAUUACUAUUUCCUUUAAUUCCAUCAAAUGACUUCUUCUCAGCCCAGCCUCCUCAGCCAAGCACUCACCCCAGCCCGUGUAGUGUUCAAAACCCCUUCAUCUUCCCUGCCCUUAAUGUUUUGCAGAUUUCAGCAAGACUCCUGGGCUGUGUGUAUGAAAGUACAGUUUAAGCAGUGACAAAUAGAAAGCACAUGCUUAUUAAAGCUACAUUACACAACUCCAUACAGCUUUAAUGUCAUCUGCUCCUAAAACAACAAACCUGUGGGGAC